CUCGCACGCCGCCGGUCCAGCCUCGCUACCGGCCCGACUUCCCCGCUUCGCUUUGUGUCCCUACGCGCUCACGGCUCCCUCUCCGCCGAUUCAUCCUCCUCCCCUCCUGGUUCCAGCCCCACCCGUCGACCCGGUUACCCUUGCCACCGAUGUACGCCGCCCCGCUGCGGCGCUCCUCGACUCACGUCCCGCCUCCUCCCGUCGCAUCCAGUGGAUGGGUCCGGCUGCGCACAAUAACAUCAUCAAUUGGCGAAGUGAGAUAAGGGAAUCAAUGGGGCUACAACUGUAUAGCUUCAGAUGACUACAUCAUCCUGAGCAACUUCUCGUGUACGUUCUAUCCUCUCACAAAGUUCCGAUUUUUUCUUCUUCUUUAUGUUAGGGUCAAAAUCUGUUUUGGUAUUACUAGAUUCACUCAAAUUUAGUUGUUUCCGUGAGUAAUUACAUUGUGCAUUUGCACUUUUAAUAAUUUUUAUAGGUUAUUAUAUACUUUAGAACCCUAAUUUAGAUCGGUGGUACAAAAUCUUAAAUUUAGUCUACUUGAGCAAUUCCUAUUACUGAUUUUUUUCAUUUGAGAUCAUAAGAAGGUUACUUGAUGGAUGGAGGAUUUGUAACAAUACAUUCAAUCAAAGCAAUGAUAACAUCAGUUUGUUCCGUAUCAAUUAAAUUGAGCAAAGCAAAUAUUAUUCAGCUCAGUUCUAUGGUCUCAUCCAUGCUCAUUUGGUGGUUCCUAAAGUUUAUUAUUGGCUUUGGAAGUCCUGUUGCAUUAUGAAGACAAAGGUCUAUGCAUGGUUGCUUUUAAAGGAUCGAUUAAAUGCAAAUGGCCUUCUGGUUCGUAGGAAUUGGAAGGUAGCUGAAGAUUCUCACUGUGUUCUUGGCCCUCUGAAAACGCAUGAAGAUAGAUUGCAUCUCUUUUAUGGGUGCAAUUUCAGUCAACUGGUACUAUUUGCAAGUGGACUGGAUACAAAACGAUGAUCUGCAGAUUGUAGUGUCAAGAAGAGCUUUCCCAAACCAUUCUUUAUGGAGUGCUAUGCAAAAAAAAUUCAGGCAUGAUCAGCCAUCGUUUUCUAGAUGGAAGUGUGGCUUUACUCAUGACAUGUCUCUGCUUAGGCAUAGACUUAAGGCAAACCAUCUGGUCGGUUUUCUUGCUUGGCUAGACACCCUACCUUAAGCUACAUUUCUUCUUUUGUACAUACUUAUACUUCUUUUUACCUCUUCUCCUUUUGUAUAUAUGUACUCCUUUCGUUUGAAAUAAAAUUGUUGUGGGUUUUUGCCUCACAGUUCACAGUAAAAAAAUAUUAUUUAGGUAACUGCUCUUUGUGGGAAUGCAUACUCCUUUUGCUACUCAAACUGAGGAAAUUAAAGCAAUUGCAGCACUGUACUGCAGAUGUUGAGUUCGGGGUAUCUCAUGAAAGUGUUUUACUCAUUGACACUCAGUAGCCAGUAUGCAGUCCGUCCAUCCUACUUGUUACGAUGAGGCAUGGUGGUUCUUCCACACUUCCUGUUCUUA